AUUGAACGCUGGCGGCAUGCCUUACACAUGCAAGUCGAACGGUAACAGGUCUUCGGAUGCUGACGAGUGGCGAACGGGUGAGUAAUACAUCGGAACGUGCCUAGUAGUGGGGGAUAACUACUCGAAAGAGUGGCUAAUACCGCAUGAGAUCUACGGAUGAAAGCAGGGGAUCGCAAGACCUUGUGCUACUAGAGCGGCCGAUGGCAGAUUAGGUAGUUGGUGGGAUAAAAGCUUACCAAGCCGACGAUCUGUAGCUGGUCUGAGAGGACGAUACGCCACACUGGGACUGAGACACGGCCCAGACUCCUACGGGAGGCAGCAGUGGGGAAUUUUGGACAAUGGGCGAAAGCCUGAUCCAGCAAUGCCGCGUGCAGGAUGAAGGCCUUCGGGUUGUAAACUGCUUUUGUACGGAACGAAAAGCCCCGGGUUAAUACCCUGGGGUCAUGACGGUACCGUAAGAAUAAGCACCGGCUAACUACGUGCCAGCAGCCGCCGCCG
rnacentral:rRNA from 1 species